GUAGUGGUUUUGGUGUGCGGCAUUUUCGUUUGUAGCUUUUUGAAGUGAGAAUCUGCCCCUAAAGAGACUCUCUUUGCCCUAUAAGUUGUAGUGUAAGACUACGCUCCCGCAAGUAGCGUUAUUUGGGU
rfam:Helicobacter sp. MIT 01-6242, complete genome.